GACGAACGCUGGCGGCGUGCUUAACACAUGCAAGUCGAACGGUGAAGCGAGUCCUUGCACUCGUGGAUCAGAGGCGAGAGGGUGAGGAACACGUGAGUAACCUGCCCAUCGCUUAGCGAUAAGCACUGGAAACGGUGUCUAAUACUUGACACGACCAACCCUUGCUGGGGGUGGUGGGGGUAUGAGUUGUCGGUGAUGGAUGGACUCGCGGCCCAUCAGCUUGUUGGCGGGGUAGUGGCCCACCAAGGCGACGACGGGUAGCCGGCCUGAGAGGGUGACCGGCCACACUGGGACUGAGACACGGCCCAGACUCCUACGGGAGGCAGCAGUGGGGAAUAUUGCACAAUGGGCGAAAGCCUGAUGCAGCGACGCCGCGUGAGGGAUGACGGCCUUCGGGUUGUAAACCUCUUUCAGCAGGGACGAAGCGAAAGUGACGGUACCUGCAGAAGAAGCACCGGCUAACUACGUG
rnacentral:rRNA from 1 species